rnacentral:rRNA from 1 species
CAAUAGCGUAUAUUAAAGUUGUUGCAGUUAAAAAGCUCGUAGUUGGAUUUCUGGUUGAAGCGACCGGUCGGGCGUUGAUUCGUCUGCACUGGAGUCGGUUUUGGCCAUCCUCUAGGAAAGUGCGUCUGGUAUUAAGUUAUCGGGCGUAUGAUCCUGGUCUUUUACUGUGAAAAAUUAGAGUGUUUAAAGCAGGCCUUCGCCUUGAAUACAUUAGCAUGGAAUAAUAAGAUAGGACUUUGGUCUAUUUUGUUGGUUUGCAGACCGAAGUAAUGAUUAAUAGGGAUAGUUGGGGGUAUUUAUAUUCCGAUGUCAGAGGUGAAAUUCUUAGAUUUUCGGAAGAUAAACUUAUGCGAAAGCAUUUACCAAGGAUGUUUNCAUUAA